CAUAGAUUUGUUCGAAAUAAAAGCUGGUGGAAAAAUCAACAAGGACCAAGACGGAAUUGGAGCUGUUGGAGCAAUCUGCACAAAGGAAGCUGCAGGAGUGGGCGAAGACAUCCCUACUUCUUACUCGGGAGCUCAAGUAAUGGCUCACGAACUUGCCCAUAUAUUAGGGUCACCACAUGACGAGACGCCUAGGUGCCCUUGGUCUGAAGGAUAUCUCAUGAGCUACGAAGACGGGGGUACAAAAAAAUACCGGCUUUCUCAGUGCAGUCAGGAGAAGAU
rnacentral:lncRNA from 1 species